UCGGCAACGGAUAUCUCGGCUCUCGCAUCGAUGAAGAACGUAGCGAAAUGCGAUACUUGGUGUGAAUUGCAGAAUCCCGUGAACCAUCGAGUCUUUGAACGCAAGUUGCGCCCUAAGCCUUCCGGCCGAGGGCACGUCUGCCUGGGUGUCACAAAUCGUCGUCCCC
rnacentral:rRNA from 1 species